GACGAACGCUGGCGGCGUGGAUUAGGCAUGCAAGUCGAACGGUAUCCCUUCCUUCGGGCGGGGAGAGAGUGGCGAACGGGUGAGUAACGCGUAGGUAAUCUACCUUCAGAUGGGGGACAACCCAGGGAAACUUGGGCUAAUACCGCAUGUGCCCGCAAGGGUAAAGCCGGCCUCUGCUAGCAAGCUGGUGUCUGAAGCUGAGCCUGCGUCUGAUUAGCUAGUUGGUGGGGUAACGGCCUACCGAGGCGAUGAUAAGUAGGCGGCUUUAACGAGUGGUCGCCCACACUGGGAUUGAGAUACGGCCCAGACUCCUACGGGAGGCAG
rnacentral:rRNA from 1 species